rnacentral:rRNA from 1 species
GAGUUGAUCAUGGCUCAGGAUGAACGCUAGCUACAGGCUAACACAUGCAAGUCGAGGGGCAGCGAGAGGAAAGCUUGCUUCCUGUCGGCGACCGGCGCACGGUGAGUAACGCGUAUCCAACCUUCCCUAUAGUAGAGGAUAGCCCGGCGAAAGUCGGAUUAAUACUCUAUGUUGUUCAAUGCAGACAUCUAAGUUGAAUCAAAGGUUCACCGCUAUAGGAUGGGGGAUGCGUCUGAUUAGGUAGUCGGCGGGGUAACGGCCCACCGAGCCAUCGAUCAGUAGGGUUCUGAGAGGAAGGUCCCCCACAUUGGAACUGAGACACGGUCCAAACUCCUACGGGAGGCAGCAGUGAGGAAUAUUGGUCAAUGGGCGAGAGCCUGAACCAGCCAAGUAGCGUGCAGGAUGACGGCCCUAUGGGUUGUAAACUGCUUUUAUACAGGGAUAAAGUCGGGGACGUGUCCCCGUUUGUAGGUACUGUAUGAAUAAGGACCGGCUAAUUCCGUGCCAGCAGCCGC